UACUUUUGGCGCAAUAGAUGUACCGGCGCCAUAUUGAUUAUGCAAGCAAAAAGAAAAUGGCGCGGAAUAGGAUUUAAUACAGUUAUCUACAACGACACUGAACAGGACAAAGGAAUGUAUUUGGCCAAAAUUAAUUUAGCGAUCAGAAAUCUGCAUUCAGCCUUCAAUUGAAAACCUUACUAAUCUCUCUUAAAUCACAAUGGUGUUGAAAUGCAAUUUAUUUUCAAAGAUGAAGAAGAAAGUCCUACAUUUUAACUCUACUGGUACAUGCAUUUACAGUACAGAAUCUCGGAACCCUACAGGCUACAAGCAAACAAACUAACAAAAGUGCAAACUGAAAAACCCGAGUACAGAUACAGACCUGAGUUGAGACAGAAGACUGAACAGAGUCCAGUAACGGGCUGAAAAGUCAAGGCUGAUGGAAGACUAGCAAAGUCUGAAAGGCAGGCCAAGGUCAGUGGCAGGCAGCGGUCAAGCAAGGUUGAGUAACAGGCCAAAGGUCAAACCAGGAAAUCCACAGAAAAUGGGUAUCAGAUGGGAAAAGGACAGCAGCGGAACAGGAGGCCAGAACUAGGAAGGGAACAAGGAAUGAAGGCAGGGAAUACAGGAUCCACAAAUCAAGGACUAGAUCAGGCUGGGAGCUCAGAUGAUCAAACACUGUGUCCUUCAAGUACCCAACUUAUAAAGGCCCUAAAUUGUUUAAUCACAGCAUGAUGUUAACCAGGUAGGUGGAGGAAGAUGUUCAAGGACUGAUGUCUCAUGCAUAGUAGUAUCAGCCAGUCUUAACUGGAGGACAAAUACUGUACAUGUCUUGACUACUAAGCAGGCCAGGGUUUAAAUCCCUUAGAGUCCUAACAGGUAUUAUCCAAACAAUGUUGCUAUAGAACAUAUGAUUUACUGACACGAUUGAGAUGGUUGGUAAAGAUUUUUUUAUUAAAAUUACGCUAAUUUAAAAUUCAAGCUAAUGGGGCACAAUGCAUCUUAAAUCGGUAUAAUAAUGGCAGUCAAAAUGCCCUUUGUUCCAUUAGCCUUAGAAUGUCCAGAGUCUGGGUUGCUUGGAAAUGGAAGCCUGGAGCUGGUACUUGUUACCAUUCCUUCUCUGUCUGUGCUCCUUCCAGUGUUUGCAAUGUAAUAAACUUCAAGAGAUUAAUGGAAUUUGACUUUCUUCUGUUUCUCUUCAUGGGGCGUUGAAUACCUUUUUCAAAAUAUGGCAGUUGCUUUUUUUAGUCUUUAUUGCUAUUUUCGGAAAAUCUGGUUUUGAGGCCAUGCAGCAUCCUUGAACAUAUCCGAUAAACUAUUUCAAGCUCAUUCUAAUGGAAGACUCCUUUGGUUUCUUUUGUUCAUUAGGUUUAACCUUGUCUUUUUCUGCAAUUCAUUUAACUUAUCUCCAAGCUCCUUUUGUUUCUUUUCUAUUUCAGUUUUUUCCUCUCUAUCCUCUUUUGAUUUAUACCAUUUACAAAUUCCUCCUCAGUUUCAUCCUCUGACUUCAGACUCCUUGUGUUACUUUGACAUUGAACUUUUUUCCCUCUUCCAAUCAAGCAACUCCUGUUGAUAGAAAGGAUAAGUUUCCACAAAUCUGUUGAAGUAACCCCUUUAGAAGGAUGUAAACUUGGCAAUAAAUCUUGUAGAUUUAAAUCAAUAUAGAUUGCCAAAGGUUGCAGUAAAGAACCCACAUUUGACACCACAUGCCGGCUUGGUGGAUUUGUGUGGUUCUUGGGCAAAAAGUAAAUAUAAGGUGCCCUUGGGUGUUUACAAAACAAUAUUUUACAUAGUUUUUCCGUUAUUAUUCCUUACAUUACUGCAGCAUUUAGCAUAAUAUUGAUUUCAGCCUUUAUUGUGGGAUCACUGUCCAUUUUUUUAUAAUGCAUAGAGAUAAUUGUCUUGUAGCCUCCAUCUCAUAGUAAUUUAACAGAAUUGUUUCACCUCCCUUAUCUGCCUGUCUA